AACGUAGGACGCGAGCGUUAUCCGGAGUUACUGGGCGUAAAGCGCGGGCAGGCGGUCUGACAAGUCUGAUGUGAAAUCUCCGGGCUUAACCGGGAGAGGCCAUUGGAAACUGACAGGCUGGAGGGCAGUAGAGGUAGGCGGAAUUCCGGGUGGAGUGGUGAAAUGCGUAGAGAUCCGGAGGAACACCAGAGGCGAAGGCGGCCUGCUGGGCAGUUGCUGACACUGAGGCGCGACAGCGUGGGGAGCAAACAGG
rnacentral:rRNA from 1 species